rnacentral:rRNA from 1 species
GACGAACGCUGGCGGCGUGCUUAACACAUGCAAGUCGAACGGACAGGCCCUGCUUUUGUGGGGUUCUCGAGUGGCGAACGGGUGAGUAAAACGUGAGUAACCUGCCCUUUACUUUCGGAUAACUCCUGGAAACUGGGGCUAAUACCGGAUAGGAGAUCCUGCUGCAUGGUGGUGGUUGGAAAGUUUCGGCGGUUGGGGCUGGACUCGAGGCUUAUCCGCUUGUUGGUGGGGUAGUGGCUUACCAAGGCUUUGACGGGUAGCCGGCCUGAGCGGGUGACCGGCGACAUUGGGACUGAGAUACGGACCAGAAUCCUACGGGAGGCAGCAGGGGGGAAUAUGGCACAAUGGGCGGAAGCCUGAUGCAGCAACGCCGCGUGCGGGAUGACGGCCUUCUGGUUGUAAACAGCUUUCGCCUGAGACGAAGCGGGAGUGACGGUAAUGGGUAAAGAAGCACCGGCUAACUACGUG